rnacentral:rRNA from 1 species
GACGAACGCUGGCGGCGUGCUUAACACAUGCAAGUCAAGGGGGCCCGCAAGGGCAACCGGCGAACGGGUGCGUAACACGUGAGCAAUCUGCCUAGAUGUGGGGGAUAGCCGGCCCAACGGCCGGGUAAUACCGCAUACGCUCACCGGGUGGCAUCACCUGGUGAGGAAACUUUCGAGGCAUCUAGAGGAGCUCGCGGCCUAUCAGCUAGUUGGUGGGGUAACGGCCUACCAAGGCAUUGACGGGUAGCUGGUCUGAGAGGAUGGCCAGCCACAUUGGGACUGAGAUACGGCCCAGACUCCUACGGGAGGCAGCAGUGGGGAAUAUUGCGCAAUGGCCGAAAGGCUGACGCAGCGACGCCGCGUGGGGGAUGAAGCAUUUCGGUGU